rnacentral:rRNA from 1 species
AGUGGCGAACGGGUGAGUAACACGUGGGUGAUCUGCCCUGCACUUCGGGAUAAGCCUGGGAAACUGGGUCUAAUACCGGAUAGGACCAUCGUUUAGUGUCGGUGGUGGAAAGUUUUUCGGUGCAGGAUGAGCUCGCGGCCUAUCAGCUUGUUGGUGGGGUAAUGGCCUACCAAGGCGUCGACGGGUAGCCGGCCUGAGAGGGUGGACGGCCACAUUGGGACUGAGACACGGCCCAGACUCCUACGGGAGGCAGCAGUGGGGAAUAUUGCACAAUGGGCGCAAGCCUGAUGCAGCGACGCCGCGUGGGGGAUGAAGGCCUUCGGGUUGUAAACUCCUUUCAACCAUGACGAAGCGUUAUGUGACGGUAGUGGUAGAAGAAGCACCGGCUAACUACGUGCCAGCAGCCGCGGUAAUACGUAGGGUGCGAGCGUUGUCCGGAAUUACUGGGCGUAAAGAGCUCGUAGGUGGUUUGUCGCGUCGUCUGUGAAAUUCCGGGGCUUAACUCCGGGCGUGCAGGCGAUACGGGCAUAACUUGAGUGCUGUAGGGGAGACUGGAAUUCCUGGUGUAGCGGUGAAAUGCGCAGAUAUCAGGAGGAACACCAAUGGCGAAGGCAGGUCUCUGGGCAGUAACUGACGCUGAGGAGCGAAAGCAUGGGUAGCGAACAGGAUUAGAUACCCUGGUAGUCCAUGCCGUAAACGGUGGGCGCUAGGUGUGGGGGUCUUCCACGACUUCUGUGCCGUAGCUAACGCAUUAAGGCGCCCCGCCUGGGGGAGUACGGGCCG